rnacentral:rRNA from 1 species
AUUAGCCUACGGGGGGCAGCAGUGGGGAAUAUUGCACAAUGGGGGAAACCCUGAUGCAGCAACGCCGCGUGAGGGAAGACGGUUUUCGGAUUGUAAACCUCUGUCCUCUGUGAAGAUGAUGACGGUAGCAGAGGAGGAAGCUCCGGCUAACUACGUGCCAGCAGCCGCGGUAAUACGUAGGGAGCGAGCGUUGUCCGGAUUUACUGGGUGUAAAGGGAGCGUAGACGGCUGAGCAAGCCUGAAGUGAAAGGCGGGGGCCCAACCCCUGGACUGCUUUGGGAACUGUACGGCUGGAGUGCAGGAGG